rnacentral:tRNA from 1 species
ACCUAGCUGGCUCAGUCAGAAGAGAAUGUGACUCUUGAUCUUGGGGUCGUGAGUUCGAGUCCCACGUUGGGUG